rnacentral:tRNA from 1 species
GAGGGUAUAGCUCAGUGGUAGAGCGUGUGCUUAGCAGGCAGGAGGUCCUGGGUUCCAUCCCUGGUACCCCCA